UUUCCGUGGGGGACCUGCGGAGGGAUCAUUCAGGCUGGAGAUACCUCUCUACCUUUGUGACUAUUAUACCUGUUGCUUCGGCGGCGCCCGCGAGGGUGCCCGCCGGUCUCAUCAGAAUCUCUGUUUUCGAACCCGACGAUACUUCUGAGUGUUCUUAGCGAACUGUCAAAACUUUUAACAACGGAUCUCUUGGCUCCAGCAUCGAUGAAGAACGCAGCGAAACGCGAUAUGUAAUGUGAAUUGCAGAAUUCAGUGAAUCAUCGAAUCUUUGAACGCACAUGGCGCCUUCCAGUAUCCUGGGAGGCAUGCCUGUCCGAGCGUCGUUUCAACCCUCGAGCCCCCGUGGCCCGGCGUUGGGGAUCUGCCACGGCAGGCCCCUAAAACCAGUGGCGGACCCGAAGGCCCUCUCCUUUGCGCAGUAGCAUCAGCCUCGCAUUGGGAUCCCUCGGCGUCCUGCCUCUAAACCCCCCACAAGUCCGCUCCGGCGGCACCAAGGUUGACCUCGGAUCAGGUAGGAAUACCCGCUGAACUUAAGCAUAUCAUAAGGGGGAGGGAA
rnacentral:rRNA from 1 species